UGCCUCCAAGAUUUCUAAGCUCCACUAAUAUUCAAGUAAGUAGAAUACAAAUCCAAAACAUCAAGGAUUGACCUCCUAAUCCUUCUUUCUCCUAGAAAUAACUCUAUUACAAAGAAAACUUGCAGUAGCUCUGCUGCGCUCCACCCAGCUAACUCUAACUGAGUUGACAAGAACUCUAGCUUCACUAUCACCUAACUCUAGAUGAUAACAAGGAGUUUGGAACUAAAAACACCAACACCUUCUAAUAACAAUGACAACAAUAGGCAACGUUUAUAACCACAGUACAA
rnacentral:lncRNA from 1 species